rnacentral:piRNA from 1 species
UAGACUACUAUUUGACUCGAG